rnacentral:rRNA from 1 species
UACGAAGGGGGCUAGCGUUGUUCGGAAUUACUGGGCGUAAAGGGCGCGUAGGCGGUCUUGUAAGUCAGGUGUGAAAGCCCCGGGCUCAACCCGGGAAUAGCAUUUGAUACUGCGAGGCUUGAGUCCGGGAGAGGAGAGCGGAAUUCCCAGUGUAGAGGUGAAAUUCGUAGAUAUUGGGAAGAACACCGGUGGCGAAGGCGGCCAACUGGCCCGGUACUGACGCUGAGGUGCGAAAGCGUGGGGAGCAAACAGG